rnacentral:lncRNA from 1 species
CCAGUUUCUUCAACACAACUAUUUAAACCUCCAUCACCCUCUUCUAACCCUUCAAUAGAUGCAUCUAAACCAUCUAAACCUUCAACACCCUUACCACCUUCACCACCCUCACCACCUUCAUUGCCAGCAACCUCAACACCCUCCCCACCUAAACCUUCAACACCCUCACCACCUUUACUGCCAGCAACCUCAGCACACUCUCCAUUUUCACCUUCAACACUCGUACCACCUUUACUGCCAACAACCUCAACACCCUCCCCACCUAAACCUUCACCACCUUCACUGCCAGCAACCUCAACACCCUUCUCAUUUAAACCUUCAACACCC